rnacentral:rRNA from 1 species
GAUGAACGCUGGCGGCGUGCUUAACACAUGCAAGUCGAACGGUGAACGAGGGAGCCUGCUCCCUCCGGAUCAGUGGCGAACGGGUGAGUAACACGUGAGCAAUCUGCCCUGGACUCUGGGAUAAGCGUUGGAAACGACGUCUAAUACCGGAUACGAGACGUGAAGGCAUCUUCAACGUCUGGAAAGAACUUCGGUCCAGGAUGAGCUCGCGGCCUAUCAGGUAGUUGGUGAGGUAAUGGCUAACCAAGCCUACGACGGGUAGCCGGCCUGAGAGGGUGACCGGCCACACUGGGACUGAGACACGGCCCAGACUCCUACGGGAGGCAGCAGUGGGGAAUAUUGCACAAUGGGCGAAAGCCUGAUGCAGCAACGCCGCGUGAGGGACGACGGCCUUCGGGUUGUAAACCUCUUUUAGCAGGGAAGAAGCGAAAGUGACGGUACCUGCAGAAAAAGCACCGGCUAACUACGUGCCAGCAGCCGCCGUAACAC